GAAACGACUGCUAAUACCGCAUGACGCAUAGAGGUCGCAUGAUCUUUAUGCCAAAGAUUUAUCGCUUCAAGAUGGCCUCGCGUCUGAUUAGCUGGUUGGCGGGGUAACGGCCCACCAAGGCGACGAUCAGUAGCCGGACUGAGAGGUUGAACGGCCACAUUGGGACUGAGAUACGGCCCAGACUCCUACGGGAGGCAGCAGUGGGGAAUAUUGGGCAAUGGGCGCAAGCCUGACCCAGCAACGCCGCGUGAAGGAAGAAGGCUUUCGGGUUGUAAACUUCUUUUAAGAGGGAAGAGCAGAAGACGGUACCUCUAGAAUAAGCCACGGCUAACUACGUGCCAGCAGCCGCGGUAAUACGUAGGUGGCAAGCGUUGUCCGGAUUUACUGGGUGUAAAGGGCGUGCAGCCGGGUCUGCAAGUCAGAUGUGAAAUCCAUGGGCUCAACCCAUGAACUGCAUUUGAAACUGUAGAUCUUGAGUGUCGGAGGGGCAAUCGGAAUUCCUAGUGUAGCGGUGAAAUGCGUAGAUAUUAGGAGGAACACCAGUGGCGAAGGCGGAUUGCUGGACGAUAACUGACGGUGAGGCGCGAAAGUGUGGGGAGCAAACAGGAUUAGAUACCCUGGUAGUCCACACUGUAAACGAUGAAUGCUAGGUGUGCGGGGACUGACCCCCUGCGUGCC
rnacentral:rRNA from 1 species